rnacentral:tRNA from 1 species
GCCUGGGUGGCUCAGUCGGUCAAGUGUCUGACUUCUGCUCAGGUCGUGAUGUCACGGUGUGUGGGUUUGAGCCCCACAUCGGGCU